rnacentral:tRNA from 1 species
GCUCCCAUGGCGUAGUGGUGACUGCGCUCGCCUUGCACGCGGGAGACCCGGGUUCGAUUCCCG